GUCCACGCCCUAAACGAUGCCUACUAGGUUGUAGAACCUCUGACGGUUUUACGGCCGAAGCAAAAGUGUUAAGUAGGCCGCCUGGGAAGUACGGUCGCAAGGCUAAAACUCAAAGGAAUUGACGGGGGCUCACACAAGCGGUGGAGUAUGUGGAUCAAUUCGAAGCAACGCGCAGAACCUUACCAGGGUUUGACAUGGUUGGAUGCCUUUCUGGAAACAGAGUAGGCUGCCCGCAAGGGUGAAACUUUCACAGGUGCUGCAUGGCUGUCGU
rnacentral:rRNA from 1 species